UAAGGGUUGGCUGUGAGAAGGGGAGGAUUUCUAUAUGGAGAUCUCUCUUCUUGGAUUAUUUAGUUAACAUCCAUUCUAAGGAUGGAUUUAAACUAGGACCUGUUUAUCACUGAAGAGAAGUGCCCAUCUGAGGUUCUUCCUAACAGCACAGGAGGCAGAGACAAGAUUUCCAAAGAACCAUUCAGUACAAGCACUUUGAAACUACCUAUUAGCCAACAGAUUUCACUGCAACAGACCUAGGUAAAUUCUCAGUUAUGAAGAGCAAUAAGAACUGCAGAAGAGGCAAUGUAAAGUUUUUACAAACAAGUUUUUGAAAUAAGAUGCUUCUAGAUCAGGAGCACAUUGAAAGCACAUUUAAAUCCUCCUGAAAUCUCUAAGCCAGUGCUUAAGUGCUUUUUGAAAUCAAGACUGAGCUACUGAUGCAGAGCGAGAUGAAAGCCUUGGGUGCUGGGAGACAUUUUGCAGUAUUCACCAGGUGCUCACUCAAAAACCCAGAAACCAGGCAGAGGCUUUGGGAGGCCCCACUCAUGUCUCAUCAGAAAAAUGUAUUCACAUGGGGCCCAUGCAACUCAAACUCAGCUGCCCCAUGGCGUUGCUGCACACAGUAGAGAGGCUGCAGCCAAACAGUUUGUAAUGUCAAAGAUGGAUACUUGCACAGUGGGCAGGUGGUAGACCCAAGAGAGAAAUCCAGGAUGAAUGUUUCCUUGUAUUCACUGAGAACUUCAUUUAUGACAGAUUACUUGCUCUUCAUUUUUUCAUUUAAAAAUUAUCCCUGUGCUAUCAUUGCCUACGCAGGAACACAUCACUUCUUAACUGCUUUGACAAAGCGCUGUAAUGUCAGUGCAUCAGCAGAGGAGGAAGUGCUACUUCUGGGUAAAAUUCAGCUUACGAUGGAAGAGUCACAAUGCUAAUGAUGGAACCAGAAAAUAAUUUGAAGCUUUUUGCCGAGUGUGUUUGUUUCAAAAACAAAAUCCCCAUCAAAUCCUAAGGGAGUCAAGCAACACUUCCUCCCCUAGAUUUUAAUAUAAACCUUGGCAGGGGUAAAGUCUGGAUGGCUAAAGCAAGUACAGGAAAAUUCUAAUUCAGUAGGAGAUAGAAAAUAAACAACAACAACAAACUGACGUCAUUGCUGAGAGAGCGGAUAUCUGAUACAGCUGCUGCUCUUUCAAGAACUACUUAGAAACAUGUUGACUACUUUUCUUUGGAAAAUAUUUCAAUGAGAAUAUAUAAAAAAACUUGUUUUCCUCCUUUACUUCCUUCCUUCCUUCUUUCUUCUGCCACAAUGUAACCUACUGUAAAAGAAUGAAAAAGCACAGAUGAAUCUCACGUCAGCCAAACUCUGCCACAAGUGAUUGUGCUUCUCCCUGUUCCUGCUUCAGACAUACUGAUGUUAUGAAUGAAUUAACCAAGGGACAUAAUACUUCAUUGCCAACUGAGAGCGAAUCCUUGAAGUUUAGUGCUAUUAACACUUAAAAUGUUUCAGUUGGAUCUCAAACCAAAAUGUGCAGAAGAAUUGUUACCACUGAAGGAGUUGGAUUUUUUAUCAAGGAGGAGUCUCAUGAUUCCUUUGCUCCAGGGAAAUUUAAAUGAAGAAACAUUCAGUUUGGAGGUUUGCCUGUUCUACUUGGAAAAUGUUAAAA